rnacentral:rRNA from 1 species
UACGUAGGUGGCAAGCGUUGUCCGGAAUUAUUGGGCGUAAAGCGCGCGCAGGCGGUCCUUUAAGUCUGAUGUGAAAGCCCACGGCUCAACCGUGGAGGGUCAUUGGAAACUGGGGGACUUGAGUACAGAAGAGGAAAGCGGAAUUCCCAGUGUAGAGGUGAAAUUCGUAGAUAUUGGGAAGAACACCGGUGGCGAAGGCGGCGCUCUGGACCGAGACUGACGCUGAGGCGCGAAGGCGUGGGGAGCAAACAGG